rnacentral:rRNA from 1 species
UACGAAGGGGGCUAGCGUUUGUUCGGAAUUACUGGGCGUAAAGCGCACGUAGGCGGAUAUUUAAGUCAGGGGUGAAAUCCCAGAGCUCAACUCUGGAACUGCCUUUGAUACUGGGUAUCUCGAGUAUGGAGGAGGUGAGUGGAAUUCCGAGUGUAGAGGUGAAAUUCGUAGAUAUUCGGAGGAACACCAGUGGCGAAGGCGGCUCACUGGUCCAUUACUGACGCUGAGGUGCGAAAGCGUGGGGAGCAAACAGG